UUACCAAAUUGCGAAUGGGAUCGUUGUAGAUUUAGAUACCGGUGCAGUACUAAGAGAAGAAGGGGACGAAAAUAAAAUAUUGGCAGGAAGUAUGCAGAAAGUGUGGAGACGAAGUAUUAUGUUAGCUAAUAAAGCCGCGACUUCGCUGGAGUACGUUCGUUCGGUUUAUUUAAGUGACGCUUACCUUCAAGUAUUUAUCAUGUGUUUCAAGGAUUAUAAGAAGUAUUUUAGGGACGGCGUUUUUCAG
rnacentral:lncRNA from 1 species